rfam:Picea glauca, whole genome shotgun sequence.
UAUGUACAUGCCAACAAUGUUAAUGCACCAGAUCCCAUUAGAAAUCUAUAGUUAAGCAUGCUUGAGUUAGAGUAGUACUGGGAUAGGUGACCUCCAGAGAAGUCUUUAUGUUUUACAUGC